rnacentral:rRNA from 1 species
GACGAACGCUGGCGGCGUGCUUAACACAUGCCAGUCGAACGGAAAGGCCCUGCUUGCAGGGUACUCGAGUGGCGAACGGGUGAGUAACACGUGGGUGAUCUGCCCUGCACUUCGGGAUAAGCUUGGGAAACUGGGUCUAAUACCGGAUAGGAGCCAUCUUUAGUGUGGUGGUUGGAAAGUUUUUUCGGUGUAGGAUGAGCUCGCGGCCUAUCAGCUUGUUGGUGGGGUAAUGGCCUACCAAGGCGGCGACGGGUAGCCGGCCUGAGAGGGUGUACGGCCACAUUGGGACUGAGAUACGGCCCAGACUCCUACGGGAGGCAGCUGUGGGGAAUAUUGCACAAUGGGCGCAAGCCUGAUGCAGCGACGCCGCGUGGGGGAUGAAGGCCUUCGGGUUGUAAACUCCUUUCGCUAGGGACGAAGCUUUGUUGUGACGGUACCUAGAUAAGAAGCACCGGCUAACUACGUG